GGUGGCGUUCCCGAGCGGCCAAAGGGAGCAGACUGUAAAUCUGCCGUCAUCGACUUCGAAGGUUCGAAUCCUUCCCCCACCACCA
rnacentral:tRNA from 2 species